AUUGAACGCUGGCGGCAGGCCUAACACAUGCAAGUCGAGCGAGCGGCGGACGGGUGAGUAAUGUCUGGGAAACUGCCUGUUGGAGGGGGAUAACUACUGGAAACGGUAGAUAAUAUCGCCUACCAUCAGAUGUGCCCAGAUGGGUUUAGCUAGUAGGGGGGGUAACGGCUCACCUAGGCGCCGAUCCCUAGCGGGUCUGAGAGGAUGACCAGCCACAAUGGAACUGAGACACGGUCCAGAGUCCUAAGGGAGGCAGCAGUGGGGAAUUUUUGACAAUGUGGGAAACCCUGAUGCAGCCAUCCCGAGUGUGAGAUGAAGGCCUUCGGGUUGUAAAGCACGUGUGGCAGGAAAGCGGUACCUGCAGAAUAAGCACCGGCUAACUACGUGCCAGCAGCCGCGGUAAUAC
rnacentral:rRNA from 1 species